CCUACGGGAGGCUGCAGUAGGGAAUCUUCCACAAUGGGCGAAAGCCUGAUGGAGCAACGCCGCGUGGGUGAAGAAGGUCUUCGGAUCGUAAAACCCUGUUGUUAGAGAAGAAAGUGCGUGAGAGUAACUGUUCACGUUUCGACGGUAUCUAACCAGAAAGCCACGGCUAACUACGUGCCAGCAGCCGCGGUAAUACGUAGGUGGCAAGCGUUAUCCGGAUUUAUUGGGCGUAAAGGGGACGCAGGCGGUCUAUUAAGUCUGAUGUGAAAGCUGUCGGCUUAACCGGAGUAGUGUAUGGGAAACUGGGAGACUUGAGAGCAUAAGAGGUGAGUGGAACUCCAUGUGUAGCGGUGAAAUGCGUAGAUAUAUGGAAGAACACCAGUGGCGAAAGCAGGUCUCUGGUCUGUAACUGACGCUGAGGUUCGAAAGCGUGGGUAGCAAACAGGAUUAGAUACCCUAGUAGUC
rnacentral:rRNA from 1 species